rnacentral:rRNA from 1 species
UACGGAGGGUGCGAGCGUUAAUCGGAAUUACUGGGCGUAAAGCGCAUGCAGGUGGUUCGUUAAGUCAGAUGUGAAAGCCCGGGGCUCAACCUCGGAAUUGCAUUUGAAACUGGCGGACUAGAGUACUGUAGAGGGGGGUAGAAUUUCAGGUGUAGCGGUGAAAUGCGUAGAGAUCUGAAGGAAUACCGGUGGCGAAGGCGGCCCCCUGGACAGAUACUGACACUCAGAUGCGAAAGCGUGGGGAGCAAA